CUCCUACAGAUAACCCACAAUGCUUUGCGUCGCCGUGAACAACCGUCGUUUAUUUGAAAAAAUGGCGGCGCCGGCAGAUCUACACACAAGCGGAGAUGUGGUGUUUAAAUAUUUAUUCUGGAGAAAAUGGACCUGUCCAGUAAAAUAACACCAGCACAAGCAAAGAAAAAGUGGGACAAUU